rnacentral:lncRNA from 1 species
CGUCUUAUUCAAAAUUUAUAUCCAAAUAUACAAAAUUAUAAUGGAUAAUUAAAGUUUCUAUAAUAAUAAAUCAUAUUAUAACAAAAUAAUUAAUAAUUAUAUAAUUUUUUUGAAUAAGACGAAUGGUCAAACGUGGACCUAAAAGUCAACGGCGUCAUAUAAAAAAAUAUGGAGGGAAUAGUAACUAUCUAGGAUUAUCCUUAUCUACCAC